GUUGAGUGGGAAUAGUAAGCUAACAUAGUAAGUAUGGAGAAUGCAGAUAAAUCAACGUUUUUCAACUAAAUGCUUGGUUAUCAUUAAAUAUGAUAUGCUUCCCUACCAUUUUCCUUACCAAAGUGAAAUCUUGCUAAGAUGAAGCUA
rnacentral:sRNA from 22 species